ensembl:lncRNA
CCCAUUGACACUGUGUUCUGAUUGGCAGGCUUCAGGAGGACGAUUGGGGUAAACAAUCCUCUCUCUCUGUGGACAAAGACUCCAGACGCCUCAGGCUGGAUGUGGAUAUACUAAUUUUUCCCCCGUCACCUGUUUCAUUUACCCUGUCACAAGCCGACAGCCCAACCAGCGGCAGCUUUACCGACUUCAUCCACAAGUUUUGCGAUGUCACAGGUUUGAGAGCAAGUUCACAUAGGAAUCUAGGUGACUGUAUGGAUGUUUUUGAGUCCUUGACUGACUGGAGACUCCAGACUCUGCCUGGUCUGGAGAAGGUGAAGUUGGCGGUGAGCUGCCUGACUGAGAGCUGGGCCCACUGGAUCCUCAACCUCAUCCACAUGUGCCCCACUCUGAAGGAAGUAAAGUUAUAUGCUUCAUUGGGCUUUUAUUCGGCUGAGGAGGUGAUCAGUCUUCUGCAGGAGUCCUAUAAGCGUCCAGAUUGCACUGUGAUCCUCAAGGGGAGGAGAUGCACUAAACCCAG